UUGUACAUGAGGGAUAUACUGCACAGCAUUUAAUAUCCAACCUCACAAGCAGCAUGUGGAGAAUCCGCAAGUCCAGUUACAGUUGAAAUGAAUCAUCUAUGUGACCCCCGUGACCUCUGCAUGUCGGGGCGCCCUCUGGAUGACGUUGUACCGGAGCUUCUGACGCUGUGGCAGACGCUGCUUCGCGUGAGAGACAACAUCUAAGACAGCAUUCGCAACGACGCCGACAUUGUACUGCGCACCUAAGCAAGUGCUGCGUGCAGAUUUGUGAUUCAAACUACGGCAAGGUGGGAGGCAAUGCGCCAGCUGCUGCCCGUGUUGCUGAGGGACGGAGUCAGCAACAGCGUUGCCGAGAUCAGAAGCUUUAGAUGACACGGAUGAAGUUUCUGCUGUGGAUCGGGAAGACUGGCGAUGCUGCGGAGAUGGAAUAGGCAAUACAGCAUGCGGUCGACCGAUGUGGUGCUUCUUACAGUUUCUAUCCUCAAGGAUUGGACAGCCCAGCUAUUUCACUCACACAGUCACUGCCUCGAGUCACCAACAGCGUCAGCAAUAUUGUUUGUCUUCCUAUAUUAAUAUCGCUAGACGGGGGUGCAGAUGGAGACAUGAGAUAGAGAGGGACAUGGAAGGAGGGACAAAUGUCCAGCAGUUGGUGCGCAGGGUCGGUUGCCUACGUAAAUGCCUAAUAUAGUAGCAUUGGGGGAGUGAAAUCUAUUUAGGAUUAUUUCUAUAUUAUAUGUGUGCGUGCG